rnacentral:lncRNA from 1 species
UGCUUCCUCACGUCCUUCUGUGGAGAUUUCUGAGGAGGAUGUUUCGGUGUCGUCUGUGUAUCGCGAGCAGCAGCAUUUAUCUGAGGAACUAAGGAAGAUGUCUGAGGAGCAAGCUGUGAUAAAGAAAGAUGUGAGCAAGAUCAAACGGUUAUUGCAAGCGAUUUUCGACAAGUUAGGUUGUUGCAGUGCCGAUUUAAUUCUGAGUGAUGACUAGGACUAAGUAUUGCGGAGUUUCUCCUUGUGUCAUUUUGGCGCUUUCUGACAAAAAU